GGGUUGUGAGGUUAAGCGACUAAGCGUACACGGUGGAUGCCCUGGCAGUCAGAGGCGAUGAAGGACGUGCUAAUCUGCGAUAAGCGCCGGUAAGGUGAUAUGAACCGUUAUAACCGGCGAUUUCCGAAUGGGGAAACCCAGUGUGACUCGUCACACUAUCAUUAACUGAAUCCAUAGGUUAAUGAGGCGAACCGGGGGAACUGAAACAUCUAAGUACCCCGAGGAAAAGAAAUCAACCGAGAUUCCCCCAGUAGCGGCGAGCGAACGGGGAGGAGCCCAGAGCCUGAAUCAGCAUGUGUGUUAGUGGAAGCGUCUGGAAAGGCGCGCGAUACAGGGUGACAGCCCCGUACACAAAAGCGCAUAUGCUGUGAGCUCGAUGAGUAGGGCGGGACACGUGGUAUCCUGUCUGAAUAUGGGGGGACCAUCCUCCAAGGCUAAAUACUCCUGACUGACCGAUAGUGAACCAGUACCGUGAGGGAAAGGCGAAAAGAACCCCGGCGAGGGGAGUGAAAAAGAACCUGAAACCGUGUACGUACAAGCAGUGGGAGC
rnacentral:rRNA from 2 species